rnacentral:rRNA from 1 species
UACGUAGGGUGCAAGCGUUAAUCGGAAUUACUGGGCGUAAAGCGCACGUAGGCGGACUGUUAAGUCGGGGGUGAAAUCCUGGGGCUCAACCUCAGAAUUGCCUCCGAUACUGGCAGUCUCGAGUGGGGGAGAGGUGAGUGGAAUUCCCAGUGUAGAGGUGAAAUUCGUAGAUAUUGGGAAGAACACCAGUGGCGAAGGCGGCUCACUGGCCCGUAACUGACGCUGAGGUGCGAAAGCGUGGGGAGCAAACAGG